UACGGGGGGGAGCAAGCGUUGUUCGGAUUUACUGGGCGUAAAGGGCGCGUAGGCGGUCGUGACAAGUCACUUGUGAAAUCUCCGGGCUUAACUCGGAACGGUCAAGUGAUACUGUCGGACUAGAGUACAGAAGGGGCAACUGGAAUUCUCGGUGUAGCGGUGAAAUGCGUAGAUAUCGAGAGGAACACCUGCGGCGAAGGCGGGUUGCUGGGCUGAUACUGACGCUGAUGCGCGAAAGCUAGGGGGAGCGAACGGGG
rnacentral:rRNA from 1 species